CGCGCGGCUCCUUGAAGUGAUCCGGGUCCUUUUGCUCGGUUUUGAAUGACAUCAUUUUAGUCACCACAGUGCGCUGGGAUACAAAACAAAGCAGGCAGGGCUCGCGCUAGCUUUGCUUACGCAAGUAGGUCAAUCCGAGUGGGAGCGUUCUAGAGAAGAGCUUUUAGAAUUUCCUCCUCAAAGAAAAGAGGUGAAUAUCCCACUGGAAUGAACCGUCUAAAAGCCCUCUUCCACCCGUCGCUCUCCAGGGUCCUGACCGUGCAGCCGAAAAACUCUUCCAACACCACCUUCUCAUCAUCAGGCAACUUUUAGAAAGAAAUCAUGGAGUUGCGUGUUGGAAACAAGUACCGCCUUGGGCGGAAAAUUGGAAGUGGCUCUUUUGGGGACAUUUACCUUGGUGCGAAUAUUACAUCAGGAGAGGAGGUGGCUAUCAAACUGGAAAGUGUGAAGACCAAGCAUCCCCAGCUGCAUAUUGAGAGCAAAUUCUACAAAAUGAUGCAGGGAGGAGUGGGUAUUCCGUCGAUCAAGUGGUGUGGUGCUGAGGGUGACUACAAUGUAAUGGUGAUGGAGCUGCUUGGUCCCAGUCUGGAGGACCUGUUCAACUUCUGCUCAAGGAAAUUCACCCUUAAGACAGUGCUGUUGCUUGCAGAUCAGAUGAUCAGUCGCAUUGAGUACAUCCACUCAAAGAACUUCAUUCACAGAGACAUCAAACCGGACAACUUCCUGAUGGGUCUCGGCAAGAAGGGCAAUCUGGUAUACAUUAUUGACUUCGGUCUCGCCAAGAAGUACCGUGAUGCCCGCACACAUCAGCACAUUCCCUAUCGUGAGAAUAAAAACCUGACUGGCACUGCCCGCUAUGCCUCCAUUAACACUCAUCUGGGUAUCGAGCAGUCCCGACGGGAUGACCUGGAAUCUCUUGGUUACGUACUCAUGUAUUUCAACUUGGGCUCACUGCCUUGGCAAGGCCUGAAAGCUGCCACGAAACGGCAAAAGUACGAGCGCAUCAGUGAGAAGAAGAUGUCAACCCCCAUUGAAGUGCUUUGCAAGGGCUAUCCAUCUGAAUUCUCCACAUACAUGAACUUCUGCCGCUCACUGCGAUUUGAUGACAAGCCUGAUUACUCCUACCUGAGACAGCUGUUCAGAAAUCUCUUCCAUAGACAGGGUUUCUCCUAUGACUAUGUGUUCGACUGGAACAUGCUGAAAUUUGGAUCCAGUAGGGCAACAGAGGAAAAAGAGAAGGAGCAGAGAGGAGGAGAGGGAGAGGAGAGAGAUGAGAGGACUGGAGGGCCUCAGGGUUCUGCUGCCCGUGCACUGCCCUCUGGCCCCAAUCUGCCAGCACCCAACAGAGUCCGCAAUGGUCCAGACCCAGCUGGCUCUGCUCCAACCUCACGUGUCCCACAGUCCGGGAACGUGUCUCCCAGAGCUGGGCGGGGGGCUGAGCGAGAGAGAAGAGUGUGCCUGCGCCUGCACCGGGGGGCUCCAGCUAAUGCCUCCCCUGAUCUUCCCCUACGCCAUGAUCAGAUUCGCAUCACGCCCCCCCCAGGUCAGUGUGCCAUUUGAGCACAUGGGGAAAUGAGCUUGGCAACUGCUGUCAUUUAUUCUUUUCUAGGAGGAUUUCAACAAACAACUCCCCUAAAGCAUUUGUAUUCAUCUUUCUAAAUAAGUCAGUGGAGCGAAGAAACAGAAGCUGCGGAGAGGGGCAGAAAGUCAGUAACUACUCUGUUGCAAUGGACAGUGAGAUCCACAACCUGACUGCUCUGAAAUGGUGAAAGCUACUGGAGAUUUGGAUGAGAAACAACCGAUAAAGAAGCAUGACUCCACUAAGUACAAGAAAACCUUGGAUCACAAGUCUCAGGCAUAGAAAUGAUUACUGGAAUUGAAGACUUUUGCCCACAACUUGACUGUUAUUCCGGUGUGGUCUUAAAUACUGAUACUGAAAAUGACAUGGAAUAACUUCUUUGAUUGUUAAAAUUGAUUGUUUAUUAAGUGUGAGUCCAAAUAAAUGUAUUGCUCGCACACAUACUUUAACACGCACAGAAGUGUUGUAUGUUGUCUUACAUGCUGAUGUAGAUGGUAUAGCGAAAAACAUCUUUUUUAUGUUUAAACUUAUAUGCAUAAGAAUUUUAACAUGUUCAAUUAAAUUUUCAGUGUUGCUUUAUUAGUUGGAGGUUGAACUAAUCAUGCAAUGAAACAUUAAAGAAUUGUUCUGUAUUUGCAUAGCAUGGACAACACUGAAAUUAACUGAGAUGUUAACCAGAACAGUGAUUACUUUCAGAAAUUAACUGAGAUGUUAAUGAGACUUGUGGUUACUUUUAGCCAAUCUAAAAUCUAAAUAACAUCCCAAACAUAGGCUGCUGGCCUAUGAGUCUUUAUGUAAAACCCGUAGAAAAUAGUGGCAUACGGAAGUGGAUUUAAUCUAAGGAGUUCUGUAUUGGCAUGUUUGGCCAUAGUACCCAGAUUUAUAAAUAAAUGGAUAUGUCCAAUUAUCUGAUGAACUAAGUUGCUCUGUAACGUAUGUAAGUCUGUCGUGGGGUACCACUACCCUGUACUAUUUUUAUAUUUCCCUGCCCUAACUCAUCCUCUUUAACUUUGAAAAGGCUUGUUAAUUAGCUUUUUGGUUGGAUCAGGUGUAUUAGAGCAGGAAAACAGGACUCCAGGACCAUGUUUGGGAACCACUAAUGUAAGUUUAAAGUAAAAAUUUUUUAUAAUUAUAAUUUUUUACAAUUAUUAUCAUGGCAUGGGUUUCCAUGGCAGCUGCAUCACCGAGCACAAUGCCAAGCGUCUGAUGGAGUGGUGUAAAGCAUGCUGUCGCUGGACUCUUGAGCAAUGGAAGCAUAUUCUGUGGAGUGACAAUUCAUGUUUUUCUCUCUGAUGGACGAGUCUGGGUUUGGAGAAUUGGUACCAGGAGAAUUGUGCCAAGUGUGAAGUUUGGUGGAGGCGGUAUAAUGCUGUUGGGUUGUUUUUCAGGGGUUUGCUUAGCCCCCUUAAUCUUUUUUCUGUUCCAGCAUGACUGUGCCCCAGUGCACAAAGCAAAGUCCAUAAAGGUAUGGUUGGGGGAGUUUGGUGUGGAAGAACUUGACUGGCCCGCACAGAACCCUGACCUCAACCCCUUUAAACACAUUUGGGAUGAACUGAAACAAAGAUUGUAAGCCAGGCCCUUUUAUCCAACAUCAGUGUCUGACCUCACAAAUACCAUUCUGGAUAAAUGGGCAAAAAUUCCCCCAGACACACUCAAAAGACAAAAUCUUGUAGAAAGCUGUCCCAGAAGAGUGGAAGCUGUUAUAGCUGCAAAGGGGGGACCAACUCUAUAUAAAUGCCAAUGGAUUUACAAUGGGAUGUCAUGAAAGCUCCUGCAAGUGUAAUGUGUAGGCGUCCCAAUAAGGGCACUGUAAGACUAAAUAGUCCCCAAAGAAAACUUUCUGAUUUUACCAUUAUCAACAUUGCAUAUAAAACUCAGAAGACACGUGUAGGUUAGCAGUGGUCAUGGUUUGUAUAGCAAAAAAUGUAUUUGUGUUGUAGUGGUCACAACUACUAUCGCAUUGUAAAGAAAUCUGAGUAAGUUUCUCUACAGAGCUUUGUUUCAAAUUAGACCACGGCUUCUGACUGUUUACAUCUCAUUAGGUGAAUUAUGCAGAAAUGUUGACAAUUCACAUUAUUCUCAUUUUAAUGAGCAUAUAAUAAAGAUCAGCUGCAGUAGUA